rnacentral:rRNA from 1 species
CGUUAGCGGCGGACGGGUGAGUAACACGUGGAUAACCUACCUAUAAGACUGGGAUAACUUCGGGAAACCGGAGCUAAUACCGGAUAAUAUAUUGAACCGCAUGGUUCAAUAGUGAAAGACGGUUUUGCUGUCACUUAUAGAUGGAUCCGCGCCGCAUUAGCUAGUUGGUAAGGUAACGGCUUACCAAGGCAACGAUGCGUAGCCGACCUGAGAGGGUGGUCGUCCACACUGGAACUGAGAAACGGUCCAA